rnacentral:tRNA from 1 species
GGGAGUCUGGCCGAGUGGUUAAGGCGUUGUGUUUAGGUACCUUCCUUCCCAGGAAGCGUUAGUUCUUGAACCGCAAUGUGCAUCGCACGCGUAGGUUCGAUCCCUACGGCUCCCA